CGCAGAAGAUGGCCAGCUGGCAACCUUGCCACCAACCGAUUCGGAAGCGUCGCUUUCCACAGUCGAAGCGUCGCGGCGAUACGAGUGACAGCUGUCACUAUUAGUGAGCGAGCUGUCAAAUACCUGUUUCCGGUGAUCAGUUCCACAUUUUCGUCACACUGUAGUGAAGUGAACCUCGGACGCAGAAGAAAGUAUAAUUCUAGUGUGAAUCGUUAAGUUGGAUACGGUUUAGAUUAGUCACCGUAUGUUAUCGAUUUCGCAGGCAAGCUUUUCAAAGUAGACAAAGUGGAGCUUGUAUAUUUAGUUGAAGUUUUUGGCACCCAGUUACGAAGUGAGUCCGCCACGUGAAAAUCCUUGCCACAGUCAGCUUCUAUAAAAGUUCGUCCGGUCAGUUCGUGCUACAAUCAAAGUAGCGAAAAUCAGAACAAAAGUCGUGAAACAUAGUAGGGUGCGCCAAUACGGAGAGGCCACCGAAUUGUGAGUUAGAACUCCCUCAUUAGUUAUAAAUAAUGUGUUCUCAUAAGAAAUUUACUCGUUACAGUUGAAGCAACAAAUAUAAAUAUUCGCUCUCAGAA